CCCGGCAAUAAAUUGCCGGGCUAUUUCCUGUCGUCCCGCGGGACU
rnacentral:sRNA from 1 species